GUCUGUUCCGUCAGUCGGGGUGGAUGGUGUGUGGCUGGGUCUGGGAAGGGGGAUACAGUGUAACCCUCGGGUGGAUACAGUGUAACCCUCGGGUGGAUACAGUGUAACCCCCGGGUGGAUACAGUGUAACCCCCGGGUGGAUACAGUGUAACCCUCGGGUGGAUACAGUGUGAGAGCGGCCCGAGGCAGGGGAGCAAGUGGAUACAUUGUAACCCGGCCCCGGGGGACUCCGCGAACCCAUUACUGAUACUCCUGGAGAGGUCCUUCUCCCAUCUGGUUAAUUUUCCAGAUUUACCAGUCUCUCUCUCUCGCUGGGAUUUGUAUAAACCAGUUGCUGUCAUAAAAGAACACAGAUGUGUCUUCCUGAGCACCACUUGUCGAUGCUUUACAUUGAGUUGAAGAGCCCAGUGUGACCCCCUGGUCUUGUGAGAUGGGAGACCGCGACGAUAGAAGGGACAAAGGGACAGGGCCCAAAGGAGGUGUGAAUGGCACAGCAA